rnacentral:tRNA from 1 species
UUCCAGGUAGCUUAAUGGUAAAGCACCCAACCGCAAUUGGGGGGAUCUGGGUUCAAGUCCCGGUCCGGGCU